UACAGAGGGUGCAAGCGUUAAUCGGAAUUACUGGGCGUAAGGCGUGCGUAGACGGUUACGUAAGUCGGGUGUGAAAGCCCCGGGCUCAACCUGGGAAUUGCAUUCGAGACUGCAUAGCUAGGGUGCGGAAGAGGGAAGCGGAAUUUCCGGUGUAGCGGUGAAAUGCGUAGAUAUCGGAAGGAACACCAGUGGCGAAAGCGGCUUCCUGGUCCAGCACCGACGUUCAGGCACGAAAGCGUGGGGAGCAAACAGG
rnacentral:rRNA from 1 species